AUCCAGGAUAGUCCUGGAAAUGAUCUUGAUGCUGUCUGUUCCUCGUUACAGCAGACCUGCUCAACUUCAGCAGCUAGAAGGAGGAUUGUCUUUCACCAGCUGCAGGAGCCUGUUCCCACUACAAGCCUGGUGGAGUCUUCGGAGCACAUGUGACUGUCCUACUUGUAUAGAGAAGAGAAACUGAGGCUCAGAAGAGACGCCUGGCUGAGUUUAACAGGACUGCAACAAGAAUUUUGCCUUUCUACUUUCUGGUACAGUGGUCUUUCCUUUGCCAUCAUGCCUCAGCAUAUCCAUGUUAGUAAAUUCUCCCAGUUGGGGAAAAGCUUGGCAGCAAUGAAAGUUAAUGUGAUGAAUCAUUUAGAUGGACAGAUUGGAAAAAUGUUGUUCCUUUUGCAUGUGAUGUUCUUGCCAGAAAUCAAGUAGGUGGAGUUUUUGAAGCGUAAUCAGUUAGAUAAGUAUGGUGGUUUUAAAUAAUCAAGCGUGGAGCCAUACCGGUUAUGUUUAAUUUAUAACAAAAUCAGACAAUUCAGGCAUGAUGUUGAACUCAUUGCGCUUGGCUCACUACUACAUUUCUCUCACCAAAAGCAAUGACUAUAAAGAGUUACAAAUACCAUGACCUUAUAUCAUAAAGCAUAAAUUAUUCCAGGAAGUUUUCCAUUUAAGUCACCUUCUCAAAAUCUUAGGAGAAAACUACCAAUAUUCAGUUCAAACCCCAGAGGCUUAAGGAAAAAUAUUAAUGUUGAAAUAGCAAGUAAGUGGUAGUAUCCUCGCUAUAUGCACAAUUGCAUCUGCUCGGGGGUUAGUCUUUCUUUAGCUCCUGUCUACAACUCACACCAGUCUCCGUAAAAGAAAUGAGGUCUCACUGAUACCAUCUAGCUUAAUGAGAUAAAAAUCCUGGUGAUCUCUGCAAGAAAAUAAAACUAAGAUAAACUAGUAUCUGCUACUGAUAAAUAUUUAACAGAUGUGGUCCAAAUCCCUCUGCCAGCUGGAGGAAGGAAAAAAGUUCUAUUUUACAGCUUGGAUAUAAUUAUUGGCCACAUUUCUCCAAGCAAAGACAGUGACAUUGGCUCACUCCCCAGGAGAACUUUCUUCUGAUCUUGGCACUAGGAUUUGCUUUUCUUUAACAGAUUGCAGCAAUGUACCCUUCACUUGACCCAGUUUAUUCAUUCAAAAGAUACCUGGAGCCAAAACCAUGUAUGAGAAAUAGCAAAGGAAGAGGCAGGCACAAGCUGUGUUUAUAUACCCACCAAAGGACUACAGCAAAACACAUAUAUUCUAGUCAGCACUGAGUGCACCUAUCUGUGUCAACAGUAGACCAGCUUGGUCUGGCAGAUGACCAUAUGACCCAGCUGAUUCACUCCGGAGUUAGAGGAACUUUUCCCAGACCCUGAAAGUCACCUUUUUAGACAACUUCGCAAACAGCCAUCCUUGUUCACGGUAUCAUGCCCCUUGUCACUGCUAAACAGACCGUUUGCAAAGAAUUUUCCUAAACAUCACCACUGAGGCUCCUUCCAGCAAUGACUCUGGUCCAUCAUUGGGAUUGCUGAGCAGCUGUUUCAUAACAUGAACAAGGAUGUUUUAACCAUGUUUCCUGACCUGGCCAUUUGGAUCCCAAGGAUGUUUUGGUCCAAGAAUAAAUUCCAGAGCUUAGUUCACCGAAGAAGACAGGAAAACUUGUCAGAUGGGGAAGAAUGUGUCAAGAGCAUGCACACAGAUUUACUCUUCAGCUAGAAGCUCCAAUUCCUAGAUGAUCUGAAUCCAACUCAGAGUGCUUGCACCUGUUUCCUGCCACACAGCUAGAGCUGUAUGAUGACCGGAGACACAGCUGUUGGAGGAAAAAAGUUUAUGUCAAUUAAAAUCCUGAGUUUCUCUGAUCUGGAAAGAAAAACUGCUAUGAACUUUUUAGAUGCCAACACAAGUGCUGAAGAGGAUGCUACAUGAGAGAAAGAUGGAUUCGUAUGUGGAAAAGCCUUCUAAGGAUAAAGUCUACCAUAUACUGACUUACUUUUGGAGGUAACAAGGGUUGGUGAGAUCUCAGUAGCGUCCUUCUCACGAGGAGCCUUGACAUCCUUCAUGCCACACCACUUUAUCAGUAAACCCUCCAGGAUGGAACUAUUUACUGAAAUGCCAGUACUCACCCUCAUUUUUUAAACUACAUGACCUGUUCAGUGCUGUCUAUUCUGGAAUGAAAGGCCAAUAUCCAAGUGUUCAGAAAGACCCGGGAGAUGGGACAAAGAGGAUGAAGCUGGGGCUGGAAGGCGACUCUGGGAACGGCUCAUAAAGAUGUCCCACAGAAUGACUGAGGCUUUGUUUCAUGAAUAGGUGUCUCCAUUCCUCCUUGAUGGCUAACCAGCCAACUGAACAAGUGUAAAGCGCCCAGGAAAGGCCCGUAAAACCCAUGACAUGAAAGAACGAUUUAGGAAAAUAACAAUUAAGGUAAAAAUAUCAUUUUUAUUGCAUAAAUUGCAUGAGGAGUUGUGAAAUUAAAACCAUUUAUUUAUAAAAGUUAUUUCCUCAAAAAAUAAAUAAUAUUAGGUAUAUCUCCUAAUGCUAUCCCUCCCCCCUCCCCACCCCACAACAGGCCCCAGUGUGUGAUGUUCCCCUUCCUGUGUCCAUGUGUUCUCAUUGUUCAAUUCCCACCUAUGAGUGAGAACAUGCGGUGUUACACCUAACGUUAAAUGACGAGUUAAUGGGUGCAGCACACCAACAUGGCACAUGUAUAUAUAUGUAACAAACUUGCGCGUUGUGCACAUGUACCCUAAAACUCAAAAUAUAAUAAAAAGAUAAAUAAUAUUCAAG